ACUUACGGCCAUACCAUCCUGAAUACGCCCGAUCUCGUCUGAUCUCGGAAGCUAAGCAGGGUCGGGCCUGGUUAGUACUUGGAUGGGAGACCAACUGGGAAUACCAGGUACUGUAAGUG
rnacentral:rRNA from 1 species